rnacentral:rRNA from 1 species
AUGGGAGCCUACCAUGCAAGUCGAGCGGAAACGAGUUAUCUGAACCUUCGGGGAACGAUAACGGCGUCGAGCGGCGGACGGGUGAGUAAUGCCUAGGAAAUUGCCCUGAUGUGGGGGAUAACCAUUGGAAACGAUGGCUAAUACCGCAUGAUGCCUACGGGCCAAAGAGGGGGACCUUCGGGCCUCUCGCGUCAGGAUAUGCCUAGGUGGGAUUAGCUAGUUGGUGAGGUAAGGGCUCACCAAGGCAACGAUCCCUAGCUGGUCUGAGAGGAUGAUCAGCCACACUGGAACUGAGACACGGUCCAGACUCCUACGGGAGGCAGCAGUGGGGAAUAUUGCACAAUGGGCGCAAGCCUGAUGCAGCCAUGCCGCGUGUGUGAAGAAGGCCUUCGGGUUGUAAAGGACUUUCAGUCGUGAGGAAGACUGCGUCGUUAAUAGCCGCGUUGUUUGACGUUAGCGACAGAAGAAGCACCGGCUAACUCCGUGCCAGCAGCCGCGGUAAUACGGAGGGUGCGAGCGUUAAUCGGAAUUACUGGGCGUAAAGCGCAUGCAGGUGGUUUGUUAAGUCAGAUGUGAAAGCCCGGGGCUCAACCUCGGAAUAGCAUUUGAAACUGGCAGACUAGAGUACUGUAGAGGGGGGUAGAAUUUCAGGUGUAGCGGUGAAAUGCGUAGAGAUCUGAAGGAAUACCGGUGGCGAAGGCGGCCCCCUGGACAGAUACUGACACUCAGAUGCGAAAGCGUGGGGAGCAAACAGGAUUAGAUACCCCGGGUUAGUCAAA